GCAUGAAUUACAGGGUACAUCUCCUUUGGCACAGAUGCAUGCAGCAGAAUGCAUAUAUGCAUAUGCGAAACUGUCGAGCGUGCCAAAGGAGAAUUGCCCUGCGAUUCUAGG
rnacentral:pre_miRNA from 1 species